GUACCACGUGGGCCAGGCGCCCCGCAGCCUGAUCCCUCGGCUGAGGCGGGGUCAGAGGGCUAAGGGUGACUGACUGCCCAGUGCAUGGAUCUCAGCAGCACGGCUUGACUUUCGGGCGGCAGGCAAGGAUGCUAAUCCACAAGGUUCCUGAGUCCAACAUCCCUCCCUCCAAUGUGGGGCUCGAAUCCGCUAUUGCAACCAAACCCGGGUUCUGCCCGCAGGGUGGCGCAAUGACAAGAGCCACCAGGUGACCCUGGUAACUCCCGCACCUAGACCUACAGGAGCAGUUUUUCUGCAGCACCACAUCUGUAGCCCUGCAUGCCGCUGGCUCCAGUGUUGUGUGUGUGGUCAUGCUCCAUCCAGCCCAGCAGCAACUUUGGUGUUUGACACCCCUCGGGAGGCACCGCUUUGGAAGAGACUGGUAACAGCAGGGUGUGUGCGGAGCCCAAGAUGUGUUGGGAACAGCUAUCGUUUCUACUGCUUUGUCCCAUGCCUCUGGAGCUCCUGGGUUCCUGAACUUCAAGCUGGGCCCCAUCCUUCACCCUAUCAGGGCCCUGGGUGGAGCUGACUUCCAACAGUAUACAGUGGGUCUUGGUACUUCCUCCUUGGCAUUCGACAGUUGGUGUUUUUGAAGUCAGAGCCAUCCUCAGUAGGCUCCUAGGGGAUCGUAAGCGGCUUUCUCUGGGUGGAAACCUACUCCAUGCAGCCUUCAGCAAAGGUACCAGCAUCUGUCACUGGGAUGGGGAAGUCCGGUGAUCGUGUCAGCAUGGGCUACGGUGGACGGGGAAAGGCUCGUUCUGACACUAGACACCUGGGUCUCUAGCCCUAUGCCUGGAUUUGUCUGGGGAACUCUGCACCACACUGAUCCUGGCUUUCCCCAUUACCUGCUCCAUGCCAGGAUCCUACGGCUGUUGAUCCCCUCGGAAGUGAGACAUAAUGUCCCGGAGCAGAUGCUGAUGGGGACUCACUGUUGGGCCACCUGAUUUCUGUGUUCAUCUUCCCAGGCUCCACCUUUCAGAUCCCAUCCCUGGUGUCUGCAGUUACAACUUUACUAACCAGAACUUUGUUUCCAGCUUACGCUGAAAAGCAAAGGGUGACUUAGAAUAAAAAUGUAACAAAUAGCCCCAUAGCCCAAACCUUUUCUGCCAUGAUUUACUGUACCAGAUACCUAUAAGUGUCCAGGGCAAAUUAAACACAUCAAUAAAUGGCUUUCUUGUGUC
rnacentral:lncRNA from 1 species